GGAGUACGUUCGCAAGAAUGAAACUCAAAGGAAAAGACGGGGACCCGCACAAGCGGUGGAGCAUGUGGUUUAAUUCGAGGCAACGCGAAGAACCUUACCCAGCCCUGACAUCCCGGCGAGAACGGGGCAAUGCCCGUUGCCCUUCGGGGCGCCGGAGACAGGUGGUGCAUGGUUGUCGUCAGCUCGUGUCGUGAGAUGUUGGGUCAAGUCCCGCAACGAGCGCAACCCCUGCCCCCAGUAGCCAGCGUAGAGGCGGGCACUCUGGGGGGACUGCCGGGGACAACCCGGAGGAGGGCGGGGACGACGUCAAAUCAUCAUGCCCCUUACGGCUGGGGCUACACACGUGCUACAAUGGGGCCGACAGAGGGAAGCGGACGCGCGAGCGCGAGCGGACCCCAAAAACGGCCCCCCAGUUCGGAUUGCAGCCUGCAACUCGGCUGCAUGAAGCCGGAAUCGCUAGUAAUCGCGGAUCAGAACGCCGCGGUGAAUACGUUCCCGGGUCUUGCACACACCGCCCGUCA
rnacentral:rRNA from 1 species